CGUACAUGCAAGUUUACAAAGUCACGUAAGGAGUUUGAUGAAUGACACAAUAGUCAAUCUUCAUUCGAAAGUUUGAAAAGAUCUUUCAAUAUUCAAUAACCGUUGUCCACAUUUGAGUCACGGGUCUUUGAAGAUAGGCAGAAUAUAAAUCUGCCAAGCCGCGCAUUUCUCAAUUUCGAGAACAGACAUUGCUCUCUACUGGACAGAACAGUGUCACCAGUGAGCGAGAGCCUUUCCCUGCUGAGUGAAGAUGCAGGGAACAUCAUGCAUGGACCGGAUGCACAUAUCUAUCGCUGGCAUUGGGCAGAAUCGGCAUUUCUCUAAAUCUCACUUUUCAGGACCCCAAAAGAAAACACUGCA